rnacentral:misc_RNA from 1 species
GAUGAAGAACGUAGCGAAAUGCGAUAAGUAAUGUGAAUUGCAGAAUUCAGUGAAUCAUCGAAUCUUUGAACGCACAUUGCGCCCGCCAGUAUUCUGGCGGGCAUGCCUGUUCGAGCGUCAUUUCAACCAUCAAGCCCCCGGCUUGUGUUGGGGACCUGCGGCUGCCGCAGGCCCUGAAAACCAGUGGCGGGCUCGCUGUCACACCGAGCGUAGUAGAUUUUCAUCUCGCUCAGGGCGUGCUGCGGGUUCCGACCGUAAAAAGCCUUAUUUACCCAAGGUUGACCUCGGAUCAGGUAGGAAGACCCGCUGAACUUAAGCAUAUCAAUAAGCGGAGGA